UACAGAGGGUGCGAGCGUUAAUCGGAAUUACUGGGCGUAAAGCGCACGUAGGUGGCGACGUAAGUCGGGUGUGAAAGCCCCGGGCUCAACCUGGGAAUUGCAUUCGAGACUGCAUUGCUGGAGUACGGAAGAGGAGGGCGGAAUUCCCGGUGUAGCGGUGAAAUGCGUAGAUAUCGGGAGGAACAUCAGUGGCGAAGGCGGCUCUCUGGACCAGCACUGACACUGAGGCACGAAAGCGUGGGGAGCAAACAGG
rnacentral:rRNA from 1 species